rnacentral:rRNA from 1 species
UACGUAGGUCCCGAGCGUUGUCCGGAUUUAUUGGGCGUAAAGCGAGCGCAGGUGGUUUAUUAAGUCUGGUGUAAAAGGCAGUGGCUCAACCAUUGUAUGCAUUGGAAACUGGUAGACUUGAGUGCAGGAGAGGAGAGUGGAAUUCCAUGUGUAGCGGUGAAAUGCGUAGAUAUAUGGAGGAACACCGGUGGCGAAAGCGGCUUUCUGGCCUGUAACUGACACUGAGGCUCGAAAGCGUGGGGAGCAAACAGG